CGCCCGCCGUGUGCUGUGAGCGGGACGGCGGCGCAUGCGCGGCGCGGAGAAAGGCUCUGUGGGAGCUGUAGUUCGCGGCUCUGUAGGCCCCGUAGGCCUCUGUGCGGCGGCUUGUCAGACUCCUGUGGACUGAUAACAUCAGGCUUUUGAGAUUUGUUUUCCUGAGUUUGUUCAGCAACUAUUGCACUAACAACACCCAUUGCAAGAGAUCCCGUCUGCUGAGCUUCUCAUUAGGUCUGUGAGUUACGUCCCAGCCUUAAAGAGACUCAGAGUGCUUGACAGUCACCUAUGGUGCCCAGAUUUGGGUGUCCGGUGCCAUUUUAGGCAGCUUUGGCUACCUGGGAUGUCAGUGCAGAGCUGGUAGAUGUGACGUGGGACCUACAGGACGCCCUCGCUCCGUGUGAUGGCAGCCAGAGGCCUGGCUUCAGCUUGAGAUCCAGCGUGGCACCAUGAACCUCCAUGGCCCUACUUGCCCCAGCAGGACUGCUCAAGGAACAAAUCAGCUUUCAGGACACAGGUGGAGGAUGGACCCCACAAGGGAACCUAGCCAGGCUGCAAGGACAACACCGUUGUGAUCUGACAGAGCAGACAGCCCUUGUGUUCAGGCUGCUUGCAGUCCCAUGUCUGAAGGAUCGUGCUGCAAAGCAAGUCAGCUACCUGCAGGAGCACAGAGAGGAGCUUAGUGAGUCGGACCAGGCUGUGAGGGAGUGGUGGAGCUGCCUGUCCUGCCUGUCCAGCCGAUGCUGACCCAGGAGCUUGCACAUUUUGGGGGCAUUUUUAUCCAUGUAUCUGAGGCACAGUGUUCAUCUCCUCACGUUAAUCUCAUGGGAAGGCAGGGCAGCUUUCAGACAGUGGCAUUCUCCUGACAAAGCCCAGCCCUCCCAUCCUGCGCUUUGCACUGAUGGAAGAACCAUAUCCAGAUGAAGCAGCCGGAGCCCCCGGGGAAGAUGGGCUGCCUUCUCCCUUCUCCCUCACUUACAGAUGCCACAUCCCAUCUCAUUUAUGUUAUUAAAAUGAUUUCCGUGGGGUCACCUUCUGCUUCACGCCUGAAACGAUCUAGAAAAUUAAGCUCUUCCUGUUGUGGCAUUUCAAUUUCAAUUGUGGAUUUUAAACCUGCCCUCUCUCCUUGGUUCUUUGAUUUUGUACAGCCAGCAAGUGCAUCAGAUGUUGAUAAAAACAACUCACAGACACAUCGGCUUAUGUGAUGUUCCGAUGAGCGAGGUGGAUGACAACAAACACACAGUACUUCAGGCCCCCACUGGGUCUCUCUCCAUUUUCUUCACAGAGAACCUAACUAACCUGCAGUGUGGAGUAGAAAGAGGUUGCAUCAAAAGAACAUCUGCACAUUGGCACAGCAAUGAGCUUAGGCAGUUGCACCCAGUGGUGAAACAGCUUUAAUCCUUUUUCCACGUGCAAAAAUUAUGCAUCUUGUAAAGGGAUGCUCUCAUUAAAGUCAGACCUGACAGGUUGUGUGACAUCUCAUAGGUUUCAUCUAAACCAGUUCUGCACAGGUGAGCUUGGCAGAAAGCAUGUGGAUUGUUGGACUUGAUGAUCCUUAUGGGUCCCUUCCAACUGGGGAUAUUCUAUGAUUCUAUGAUUCUGUGACUGUGCAAGGUGAAGUGCUGGACUUCUUUAGAAAGUGUAAUUCCAAUUGCUGUGCUUUGUGGGCAUGAAUGCUGCCAGGAGUGAGUAAUUCUUGGUGUGGGACACGUAUUAUGCAGUAAACAUGCAAACUGAUACAUGGGAAAUGGAUUCUUUCCUUUGAGCUUGAUUUAUACGUGCAAAUUCUAUGCAAUUGUUGGUUGAUCAUUGGCUUGCUUUAUUAUCAGCCUGAAAGAGGUCACUGUUGUAUGGAGAGCUAGCACAGCCAAGAGUUACAUUCACCAGCAGCAUAACAUUUUAAGCAUUCAAAAGCUUGCAGCCUGACAAAACUAACCUUCAUAGCAUCGGUACUGGGCUUUCUUAUAUCUCUUCCCAAGUCAGAUGGUACUGGCUCCUUUCUUGGAAAGAGCACCAGGUAAGGAGGCCCAAGGGGUUUUUCCUGAUGCUG
rnacentral:lncRNA from 1 species